rnacentral:rRNA from 1 species
GACGAACGCUUGCGGCGUGCUUAACACAUGCAAGUCGAACGGAAAGGCCCUGCUUUUGUGGGGUGCUCGAGUGGCGAACGGGUGAGUAACACGUGAGUAACCUGCCCUUGACUUUGGGAUAACUUCAGGAAACUGGGGCUAAUACCGGAUAGGAGCUCCUGCUGCAUGGUGGGGGUUGGAAAGUUUCGGCGGUUGGGGAUGGACUCGCGGCUUAUCAGCUUGUUGGUGGGGUAGUGGCUUACCAAGGCUUUGACGGGUAGCCGGCCUGAGAGGGUGACCGGCCACAUUGGGACUGAGAUACGGCCCAGACUCCUGCGGGAGGCAGCAGUGGGGAAUAUUGCACAAUGGGCGGAAGCCUGAUGCAGCAACGCCGCGUGCGGGAUGACGGCCUUCGGGUUGUAAACCGCUUCCGCCUGUGACGAAGCGUGAGUGACGGUAAUGGGUAAAGAAGCACCGGCUAACUACGUGCCAGCAGCCGCGGUGAUACGUAGGGUGCGAGCGUUGUCCGGAUUUAUUGGGCGUAAAGGGCUCGUAGGUGGUUGAUCGCGUCGGAAGUGUAAUCUUGGGGCUUAACCCUGAGCGUGCUUUCGAUACGGGUUGACUUGAGGAAGGUAGGGGAGAAUGGAAUUCCUGGUGGAGCGGUGGAAUGCGCAGAUAUCAGGAGGAACACCAGUGGCGAAGGCGGUUCUCUGGGCCUUUCCUGACGCUGAGGAGCGAAAGCGUGGGGAGCGAACAGGCUUAGAUACCCUGGUAGUCCACGCUGUAAACGGUGGGUACUAGGUGUGGGGUCCAUUCCACGGGUUCCGUGCCGUAGCUAACGCUUUAAGUACCCCGCCUGGGGAGUACGGCCGCAAGGCUAAAACUCAAGGGAAUUGACGGGGCCCCGCACAAGCGGCGGAGCAUGCGGAUUAAUUCGAUGCAACGCGUAGAACCUUACCUGGGUUUGACAUGGAUCGGGAGUGCUCAGAGAUGGGUGUGCCUCUUUUGGGGUCGGUUCACAGGUGGUGCAUGGCUGUCGUCAGCUCGUGUCGUGAGAUGUUGGGUUAAGUCCCGCAACGAGCGCAACCCUUGUUCACUGUUGCCAGCACGUUAUGGUGGGGACUCAGUGGAGACCGCCGGGGUCAACUCGGAGGAAGGUGGGGAUGACGUCAAGUCAUCAUGCCCCUUAUGUCCAGGGCUUCACGCAUGCUACAAUGGCUGGUACAGAGAGUGGCGAGCCUGUGAGGGUGAGCGAAUCUCGGAAAGCCGGUCUCAGUUCGGAUUGGGGUCUGCAACUCGACCUCAUGAAGUCGGAGUCGCUAGUAAUCGCAGAUCAGCAACGCUGCGGUGAAUACGUUCCCGGG